GUGAGGAAUAUUGCGCAAUGGAGGCAACUCUGACGCAGCCAUGUCGCGUGCAGGAAGAAGGCGCUACGCGUUGUAAACUGCUUUUAACCGGGAAGAAACCCCAGGACGUAUCCUGGGUUGACGGUACCGGAGGAAUAAGCACCGGCUAACUUCGUGCCAGCAGCCGCGGUAAUACGAAGGGUGCAAGCGUUAUCCGGAUUCAUUGGGUUUAAAGGGUGCGUAGGCGGAGCGUUAAGUCAGUGGUGAAAUCCUGCAGCUUAACUGUAGACUUGCCAUUGAUACUGGCGCUCUUGAGUGCGGUUGAAGUGGGCGGAAUGUGCCGUGUAGCGGUGAAAUGCUUAGAUAUGGCACAGAACACCAAUUGCGAAGGCAGCUCACUAAGGCGAUACUGACGCUGAGGCACGAAAGCGUGGGGAUCGAACAGGAUUAGAAACCCCAGUAGUCC
rnacentral:rRNA from 1 species